UCGAGUAUGGUGUAACGGCUAACAUUACCGCCUUUCAUCGUGACCAACGCGGUAGCUCGGGGUUCGAUUCCCCGUACUCGAA